rfam:Otolemur garnettii contig015847, whole genome shotgun sequence.
GUGCCUGUGGCUCAAAAGGGUAGGGCACCAGCCUGAUAUGCUGGAGGUGGCAGGUUCAAGCCCAGCCCUGGCCA